AAACAUGUAAUGAAUCAGAAAUAACUCUGUUACACUCAGUGAAACUUGGCCAGAAGUGUGUUUUGAGUUAUUAAAUUUGUUCCUCUAAGUGAAGUGAAGCAGUUGGGGCAAUAAUCGUUAGAUUCCUGCUCUUCUGACUGGAUCUUAGAAGGAAACAGGACAAUAAAAGGUUUGCCCUCCAAUCAGUGGUCUGCCUUCAUUUUCCAGAUUGAUGAAGUCUGCCUCAGAGAAGGGGAGAGAUAGACAGCGAGAGAGGGAACACAGCAGGGGG